GGAUGUGAGGACUAUUUACCUGUGACAUCCCGACACCCCAUUGAUUACCAGUCUUGAUCUAGCUGCUGAGGUGGCUGGUUAGGCAGGUGGCUCUUUCCUUUCCACUUUAUAUUUGUCCCUCCCAAUGCCACACUGUCCAAGAGGUGUUGAUGUUCCCUGGUAGAAGACGCUGUUCUUCAGCCAGACUGUGCGGAUAGCUGUACUCUUCUGCUAGAACAUCCAAGCAAGCCCCAGGGGUCCAUUUGUGGAGGAAAUUAGGGGAACCAAGCUUCCAGGGAUUAAAAG
rnacentral:snRNA from 1 species